UUUGCAAAUAUUGGUCUUGUUUUUACAUCUAUGCUAGCUACAAAUAAAAUUUGAGAUCUCUUACAAAACACGAACAAUUUUAAUAGUUGAUAAAUUAGCUAGUUUAACAGAAAAUAGAAAUGGGAUCUAAAAAUCCAAAUCAGAGCACACGUUAUAUCAGAGCCAAAAAAAGUUUAUGCUCAAAUCCUCAGCAAAAUGCAAACCCUCACGGACAAGGAUUGUCUGUCCUUCAUUUUUCCACGCCCUUCCACGCCCUCCUGUGUGUGAUCACGGUUCAGCCACGUCAACAUUUUAUAUUACUAUUUAUUUUUUGUCUUAUUAUCUUUAUAAAAAAAUAAUAUAAAAUGUUAACGUGACUUAACCGUGACCACACAAAACAGGAGGGCAUAGAAGGGCAUGGAACGGAAUGGAAAAAAGGAGGGCAGACAAUCCUUGUCCAACCCUCACAUAAUGUAAUUGCUUCAAGACCACGCCAACCAAUUAAUAAAGGAUUUCCAAAUUGGGAGUCAUUGAAUACAAUUAAAGAAAUCUGUAAUUAAUUCAAAUAGCGACGAUAGUCAAAAACAGCUAAAUACACAAAUAUGAGUCAUCAAAUUAAAAAGGUAUAAUGUAAUCUUAAGUGGUAGAAUAGUCAAAGAACUUAAUCAACAAGAGACAAUCUAUGGAUAAUCUUUUGGUGUCAUAGGUUGCUAAUCUUAAGUGGUAGAAUAGUCAAAGAACUUAAUCAACAAGAGACAAUCUAUGGAUAAUCUUUUGGUGUCAUAGGUUGCUAAUCUUAAGUGGUAGAAUAGUCAAAGAACUUAAUCAACAAGAAACAAUCUAUGGAUAAUCUUUUAGUGUCAUAGGUUGCUAAUUGUUUUUUAUUCCGCUCAAAUUAUAAUACGUAAAUUUGUUUUAAAACACGUAUAAUAAUAUAUUUUGUGGCUUGUGUGUCUAGACCAAGUGUAACAAAUUUUCAAGCUUAAGACGUGUAUAACACAAAUUGGAUGAAGUAAAACACGUGUGGGCAAACUUUUGAAGUGGGAUAUUUCUUCACAUCCUCACACACAUGGUCCUUCACAUGUGGUGAAUUUUGAUGUUGACAACGAAAAUUGGGCAACAUGAGAUACGUGUUGUGUUGAGCUUAAAGGUGAGCCACCUGCAUUGAUACCUGUAUUGAUGACUUCACAAGUUUGAACUUGGAGGGGUUAUGAAGAGGUGGUCAGGGUACGUGGCUGUACUUUGUCUAAGGCGAUAAACCAGAGCUUAAUUAAUUAAGCUUAUAUUAAAAGUCAGAAAAAAUGGAGAAUUUGAAGCAGCUCUCAUCCCUUAACUUCAAAUAUAUAUGAUAAUUAUAAUGAUUUUUAUUUGAUCUAUGUAAUAGCUGAUGACAUCUUUCUUACUAAACUAACCAAUAGGUCUAAAAAUAAAUAAUAUAAGGACGAACAUUUUAAUAAAGUCAAAUCGAAUUAAUGGUCUACAUGAUAAUAGAGUAUUCGGAAGAGAUUAUGUGAUAAAAAAAUUAGGAUCUAAAUCCCGAUGAUAAAGGCUGUUAUCAAAUUUAACCUAAAGUAAGAUUUCUGUCAUAUCUCAUUUAGAUGCAAUUGUACCUCCAUGGCUCCACCUUCUCCUCCCAUCUCUCUCCAACCAUUUUUCCGUUGGUUUCCUUACCAUUAGGCAUUAGUUUCAAGAUUCACAAAAUGAAUACAUAUCUAAUGAUCAUAGAUACCUGUUGACCCUAAAAACUACCAAGCCUACGUGGCGCGCAGGCCGAAUAAUCUAUAAGCUAACUACAUCCUUCGGUGAAUGCGGGGCGUGCCAACUCGUCUGCCGAGCUCGGCCGAGGAGUAAAUUUGUUGAUGUUGGGUGCGCGGCUGACUUCUGCGUCUUGCGAUUGCGGCCGAGAAAGGAAUAUGUCUCGGCCUCUUGGGCUCUCGAACCUGAAGACAAGGUUACUAUUCUUACGAAGUUCAAUAUCAAAUUCGGCUUUCAAUAUGCCGAAUGCAAUAACUUGUAACAGCUUACUUUGCCGAGAAGGCUGAUGAGAUGACCUCGACCAAUAAGGAUUCAGAAAUCCUUCUCGACCGAGACUUGGAUAGGUAAUCAACCGUCCUUGCCGCAGUGCUGUUGAUGCCAACGGAAGAUGCUGCAAGAUCGGCUGAUUCUACGGUGAUAGAGCUAUCUAUGCCGACUUAAGAUAUCACCGGUUGCUUUCACAGUGCUGUUGAUGCCAACGGAAGAUGUGUCAGCGAAAAGAGAAAAUAAAAAUCUCAGUUGUUGAGAGAGUUUGCGCAGGGCAGUUGUGUGUUGAAUUGAAGGUCCCUUCAAUGAUGCACUGAGUCUUGUAUUUAUAAGGUUGGAUAUCUGCUAGCUUUGGCCUGACAGAUUUGUAUUUCAAUUGCACCCAAAGACUUCUUGAUGGAAUAUGCGAAUCUGAACAACAAUAGGGACUCUGCAUGCUAACCCUAUUUUAUUCCCACUUUGACUUAUAUUUAUCCCAUUAGAAGCUUUCUUAUCUCAUCAGAGCCUAGCCUUAUCCCAUCCAAAGCCAUCACUUCAAAGUCAAAGAUUCCUAAUGCAACUAUAAACCUUCUUCUUCCACCACGAAUGUCCAUAUGCAUGCAACUUCAUUAAUC
rnacentral:lncRNA from 1 species